rnacentral:rRNA from 1 species
CUUGCUUCUCUUGAGAGCGGCGGACGGGUGAGUAAUGCCUAGGAAUCUGCCUGGUAGUGGGGGAUAACGUCCGGAAACGGACGCUAAUACCGCAUACGUCCUACGGGAGAAAGCAGGGGACCUUCGGGCCUUGCGCUAUCAGAUGAGCCUAGGUCGGAUUAGCUAGUUGGUGGGGUAAUGGCUCACCAAGGCGACGAUCCGUAACUGGUCUGAGAGGAUGAUCAGUCACACUGGAACUGAGACACGGUCCAGACUCCUACGGGAGGCAGCAGUGGGGAAUAUUGGACAAUGGGCGAAAGCCUGAUCCAGCCAUGCCGCGUGUGUGAAGAAGGUCUUCGGAUUGUAAAGCACUUUAAGUUGGGAGGAAGGGCAGUAAAUUAAUACUUUGCUGUUUUGACGUUACCGACAGAAUAAGCACCGGCUAACUCUGUGCCAGCAGCCGCGGUAAUACAGAGGGUGCAAGCGUUAAUCGGAAUUACUGGGCGUAAAGCGCGCGUAGGUGGUUCGUUAAGUUGGAUGUGAAAUCCCCGGGCUCAACCUGGGAACUGCAUUCAAAACUGACGAGCUAGAGUAUGGUAGAGGGUGGUGGAAUUUCCUGUGUAGCGGUGAAAUGC